rnacentral:rRNA from 1 species
CCCGCUGAACUUAAGCAUAUCAAUAAGCGGAGGAAAAGAAACUAACAAGGAUUCCCCUAGUAACUGCGAGUGAAGCGGGAAAAGCUCAAAUUUAAAAUCUGGCGGUCCCUGUGGCCGUCCGAGUUGUAAUUUAGAGAAGUGUUAUCCGCGUUGGACCGUGUACAAGUCUCCUGGAAUGGAGCGUCAUAGAGGGUGAGAAUCCCGUCUUUGACACGGACUGCCAAGGCAUUGUGAUACGCUCUCAAAGAGUCGAGUUGUUUGGGAAUGCAGCUCAAAAUGGGUGGUAAAUUCCAUCUAAAGCUAAAUAUUGGGGAGAGACCGAUAGUGAACAAGUACCGUGAGGGAAAGAUGAAAAGAACUUUGGAAAGAGAGUUAAACAGUACGUGAAAUUGCUGAAAGGGAAACGCUUGAAGUCAGUCACGUUGACUUGGAAUCAGCUCUGCUUUUGCUGGGUGUACUUUCUUGUCAAUGGGUCAGCAUCAAUUUUGACCAUUGGAUAAAGUUGCUGGGAAUGUAGCAUCCUUUUGGAUGUGUUAUAGCCUGGUGAUGCAUACAGUGGUUGGGAUUGAGGAAUUCAGCACGCCACCAGGCCGGGUUUUGACCACGUUCGUGCUUAGGAUGCUGGCAUAAUGGCUUUAAUUGACCCGUCUUGAAACACGG